GUACAGGGUGUUGCUCCUAGUAACGGCGAGUGAAGCGGCAACAGCUCAAAUUUGAAAUCUGGCCCUUGGGUCCGAAUUGUAAUUUGUAGAGGAUGUUUUUGGUGCGGUAUCUUCCGAGUUCCUUGGAACAGGACGCCUUAGAGGGUGAGAGCCCCGUACGGUUGAAUGCCUAGCCUUUGUAAAACUCCUUCGACGAGUCGAGUAGUUUGGGAAUGCUGCUCUAAAUGGGAGGUAAAUUUCUUCUAAAGCUAAAUACCGGCCAGAGACCGAUAGCGCACAAGUAGAGUGAUCGAAAGAUGAAAAGCACUUUGAAAAGAGGGUUAAAUAGCACGUGAAAUUGUUGAAAGGGAAGGAUUUAUGACCAGACUUUUCCUAGGCGAAUCAUCCGGUGUUCUCACCGGUGCACUUCGUUUAGUUUAGGCCAGCAUCGAUUUUCGGGGCGGGAUAAAAGCUUUAGGAAUGUGGCUCCCUCGGGAGUGUUAUAGCCUAUUGUAUAAUACCGCCCUGGGGAUCGAGGUACGCGCUUCUGCAAGGAUGCUGGCGUAAUGGUUAUCAAUCACCCGUCUUGAAACACGGACCAAGGAGUCGAACAUUUGUGCAAGUGUUUGGGUGUUAAACCCUCACGCGUAAUGAAAGUGAACGGAGGUGAGAGCCCUUUCGGGGGUGCAUCAUCGACCGAUCCUGAUGUCUUCGGAUGGAUUUGAGUAAGAGCAUAAAUGUUCGGACCCGAAAGAUGGUGAACUAUGCGUGGAUAGGGUGAAGCCAGAGGAAACUCUGGUGGAGGCUCGCAGCGGUUCUGACGUGCAAAUCGAUCGUCAAAUCUGCGCAUGGGGGGCGAAAGACUAAUCGAACCAUCUAGUAGCUGGUUACCGCCGA
rnacentral:rRNA from 1 species